GAGAGAGAGAGAGAGAGAGAGAGAGAGAGAGAGAGAAGAGCUGGGGAAGAAAGCAAAAGCAAAAUGAAGCAGUGAUUGCACAGCCCCAUUCACCCUGGGAACUUGGUGCCCAUGGUUUCUCACGUUCUCUACAACUCUACAACGUGAUGGCUGCUCAGACCUCACAUCUCUCAGGCAUCCCAUCGGGUGCUGAUUACCACUAUAUUCUGCUUCCUGUCAGUUGCAAGGACACUAAGUCUGUUCUGAGAGGGAGGCGUGUACGAUGAGGCAUGUCCACACUCCACCCCCCAUCAUGGCCUGAACCAGUCCCUCAGGAAUACUCAACUGGUAAGGGAAGAACGCCUCAAGUGAGCAUUUGCACAACUCCAGUAAACACACUGUGCAUGCGGCCUCUCGCAAGUACUGGCAGGCCACUGCUCAUGCGGACAGCCCACCCUGAAGGAAGAAUCAGGGGAGAGGUAAUGCAAGACCUCGGAAACAUGACAACAUAUAAAACCCCAAGUCAAAAGUCAAACCAUUCACUCUAACCUCUCAAGUCAUCCGCUUGGCCCUCUUCCAAGUGUAGUUUACUUCCUUUCAUUUCUGCUCUAAUACUUUUUAAUAAACUUUCACUCCUGCUCUAAAACUUGCUUCAGUCUCUUUCUCUGCCUUAUUCCCCUCAGUCAAAAUCUUUCUUCUGAGGAGGCAAGAAUCGAGGUUGCUGCAGACCUGUACGGAUUUGCCACUACUAACAAUAAGAUGUAAGAUGGAAUGAUAUUCUCUGCAGGAGCACAAAGGGAAGGAAAAGAGAGUUGUUUCUGAGACUCAAGUAGGCAACAUGGUGAGGGUGAUGGCAAUCCGCCCCCAACCUCUCCACCUGACCAUGUCUCUCUUCCCCCCAGGAUCCUGUCCACCAUGACCUUCUUUCUUUCUUCCUGCAGUUGUCUUUCGAAGCCUUUCGUCACUUUCUUGGCUUCCCUUAAAUGCCAUGGUCA
rnacentral:lncRNA from 10 species